rnacentral:rRNA from 1 species
CCGGAUUUAUUGGGUUUAAAGGGUACGUAGGCGGGAGCUUAAGUCAGUGGUGAAAUCCUGCAGCUUAACUGUAGAACUGUCAUUGAUACUGGGCUUCUUGAAUGUAGUUGAGGUAGGCGGAAUGUGUAAUGUAGCGGUGAAAUGCUUAGAUAUUACACAGAACACCGAUUGCGAAGGCAGCUUACUAAACUACGAUUGACGCUGAGGUACGAAAGCGUGGGGAGCGAACGGGAUUAGAUACCCUGGUAGUCCACGCUGUAAACGAUGAUCACUCGUUGUUGGCAAUACACCGUCAGCGACUGAGCGAAAGCAUUAAGUGAUCCACCUGGGGAGUACGACCGCAAGGUUGAAACUCAAAGGAAUUGACGGGGGCCCGCACAAGCGGAGGAACAUGUGGUUUAAUUCGAUGAUACGCGAGGAACCUUACCUGGGCUUAAAUGUAGAACGACGGACCGGGAAACUGGUCUUUCUUCGGACGGUCUGCAAGGUGCUGCAUGGCUGUCGUCAGCUCGUGCCGUGAGGUGUCGGGUUAAGUCCCAUAACGAGCGCAACCCUCAUCAUUAGUUGCCAGCGGGUAAUGCCGGGGACUCUAAUGAAACUGCCGGUGUAAACCGAGAGGAAGGUGGGGAUGACGUCAAGUCAGCACGGCCCUUAUGUCCAGGGCUACACACGUGUUACAAUGGUCGGUACAAAGGGCAGCUACCUGGCGACAGGAUGCUAAUCUCGAAAACCGAUCUCAGUUCGGAUCGAAGUCUGCAACUCGACUUCGUGAAGCUG